AACAGCAACCCCCUUUGGGUCCCCUCCCAUUGUAUGGGAGCUCUGUUUUCACUGUAUUAACUCUUGCAAAUGCACACUGUUCUGUUCCAUGUUUGUUAGGGCUCUAGCUGAGCUUUCACUGACUGUCCACCACUGCUGUUUGCCGCCUUGCAGAGUCACCACUGACUUCUACCCCUCCAGAUCCGGCAGGGUGUCCACUGUACUUCUGAUCCAGCGAAGUGCCUAUUGCUGCUCCUGAUCGGACUAAAGGCUCGCCAUUGUUCCUGCACAUCUAAGUGCCCAGGUUUGUCCUAAUAGAACUGAACACUAGUUGCUGGGUUCCACGGUUCUCUUCCGUGACCCACAGCUUCUAACAACACAGCGCAUGGCUCAAGGUUCCAUGCCUUGGAAUCUGUGAGGCCAAGAACCCCAGGUCAGGGAACAAAAGGCUUGUCGCCAUCUUGGGAGCGGCCUGCCACCAUCUUGGGAGCUCUAAGAACAAGGAUCCCCUGGUAACAUCAUCAUAAUCUUUAGAUCUACGAAAAAGGCACUGGUGAGGGUGACUUUUUACGAAGCUCCAGCCCAUGGUCACUCCCUGCAAAGCUCUGAACGUGUGCAUCCACAGGCCAGGCAGCGGGUGUCUACAAAGGCGGCCGAACUUGUGCUCUGCUUGGAGAGAGUAGAGGGCAGCAGCACAGUGGACAGCGUCUGGGACCUCAGGCCAAUUCCUACAGCCACUUAGGAAAGCAGAAGGCUCCAGAGGCUGGAGAAGUCGCCAUGCUCUGGAAAGACCCUGGGUGUGGGUGGGAGAGAAAAUUGAGCUGAGCAGUAGGAAGCCGGCUGAGUGAGGAACAGACACUCCCAAUGCAGACAAAGGCAGGGUGCACUUCGCAGUAACACACCCUCCUCGCUGCCCAGUCCAGACCUGCUGCUCAAGUUCCUCUCCUGACUCAAUCCCCUUGGCGAGGGUUUGGCACGGAAUCAAUGGCCAGCAAAGCUUGUUUUUCAGGUUAAGUAUUGCACGACUACACGCUUCUGAUGCUGUCAUAGGCACAGCCUCAGCUUCGUGCAUGGUGGACCCACAGGAACAGAAUCUCCAUGGGGCAUCUUUGUGGGGCAUCCAUAUUACUGCAGGAUUUGGAAGAAACAAAUUUAAAUAACUUCUAAGAUGAAAAAAAUUGAACAUUUAAGACACAGCAGAAAAGUCAUCUGCCUUUAAUAACUGUCAUCUGUGCCUCACAUGUCAGACUUUCUCCAAGAAAAAAACUCUAAGGAGAACUUACUUCCAUUCUUAUAAAUAGUAAAAGUUAUCAAUCAUAUCAAGUCAAUUGGAAGCCGUGCCCUGCUAGUUUCCAAAAUCACAAUAUGGCCU
rnacentral:lncRNA from 1 species